GGGGUAGUAUUUUUAAUUGGGUUCAAGAUUUCGCUUAUACCUCAAUCGAAAACGACAAAGAUACUUCAGAUACCGUAACAAAACUCCAUGACCUUUCAUCAAUUAGUAAUGAUAGUUGGUACUUGGUAGCAGCAACAUUCGCAUUGGGGGGACAUCUGGUCUUUGAUCAAUGUCUAUGAAAGAGACCUCAUUAUAUGACAACUUAAUUACUUAGCAAAUAAAUAAUAAAAAUCAAGGGGUGUCUUUGUACAAGUGAAAAUAGAAGGAUGUUAGCUCAUCCUCAUUAGAACCGCUCUCAAACUCAAAGCUAUCAGCUAGCCUUUAUUGGCUCCUGCAGAAAGCACAUAAAUAUUUGUACAAUUCCUUCAGUCAAAACACAGGAAAAUAGCAAGCAUACAUCUAACUAAGCCAUUACAUAAAGAAUUAAGAAUAUGACUUAUUCUUCUACUUCCCUUCUUGAUUAUUCUCCACUCCCCAGAUCCAAAACUGAUUCCCUGCUUAUAACAUGUCUGAGAAGUUUUGCUUCCUUCAUGAGCUAAUAUUUUCCUAACUAAAAGCAAGCUUCUCAGAAGGUGCACCUAUUUUCAAGGGAAUGUACCUGCAGCUGUCAAAUCUUAACUCAACAAAGACUUGCAUGAACAACCUACCACAAUACAUAAAUAUAAAUUUACUAUCAGAAGUAUAGUUAGUUGUCAUCUAACACUCGUUCAUAGUCAUUAAAGCAAGGAUGUUCAGCGUUAAAUUGUUCAAAACUUCUGAACUCAAGGGUAUCAACUGUAUAACCAAUUGAAACAGCUGACACCAACACUUUAGGCCAAACAAUUCAUCACCAGUUGAAACAGCAGGCAUCAACAUUUUAGGCCAAACAAUUCCAGUUUUGCUUUCUUCUAUACUUGCUAGGCUAAUGGUGAUCUAUUUAUAUAUAACAAACCGACUCAGUAAUAAUCAGGCCAUCUUUCUAUGUUUCCACCACGAUCGAUUAUAUCGAUCACUUAGAAUAUGUUUGCUGGAAUAUGCAGCAGACUCAUGUUUUUGCCGGUUCAUCCCAACAGGCCUGGCGAACUGAUACAUGGAUUAACACAAGUUCUGUUAAUGGAAAGAAAUAAAAUCUGACUUUACUAUUUAGGUUCCUAAACAUGUUUGAGGAGAGGCCCUUUUAUGAUGGAGGAAUUGAUUCAACAGAACAUGCUAAUGAUCCCUUAUCAGAAGAGAAGUCAUCAACAUUGUUCAUGCAUUUGCAGGUGUGAUUUGUAAUCAAUUAUCUCUUAGCAUCAUGUCUUUAGUGACUUAGUACACAUGGAACAAUAUGUAAAAUGUGAACUUGUGUACUGACCUGGGUAUGAUGCGGUCAAGAACUACCCCAUUGAUGAUGGGAACGCUAGUUGUUGCGAGUGUUUUCUUUGUAACACCACAUUGAAAAUGAUGAAUUUCAGCUUCCUCUUGUUGAUUUCCACCCAAACGUGUCCCUUACAAGCCUCUGUCGCUGCCGAUUUUCACCAAAAUCCCAGCUUCCUCUUGUCGUAUCCCGAGAAAAGAAUAUUGUAAGGAAUUGAUAACUUCUAUUUCUCUAGGGUUUAGGGAAUCGAUAUCCAAUUCCUUCCUUUUCAACACCUCCCCUGCUAUCAAGCAAGAAGAACAACUAGUGUCAAUAUCCCAGCUCAUUUCCACCAAAACGUGUCCCUCACCAGUUCACCUCCGCUUCCGUCAAAGCAUCCGCUGUCGUUGGCCGCUGCUCAAAACCUCCCUUGCUUACAGAAAAGAGUGGGUAUGCGUUGUUGUCGAUGGAGUUAGGUAUGAGAUAAUGAAGCAUGAACAAAAUAAAUCCUCAUUAAGUGGGAUGAAUUUUUCAGAGAGAUGAUGAUGCGGAUACCACCACUGAUACGGUGAGAGAAGAAUAAUCCCAAACUUUCGCUUCAUUCUUUCUUUGCAUCUAUUUUCUGUGUGGCAGAAAAAAGAGAGAGAGACUGACAGGAAAAGGAAACCAGUAAAAAAAAUUAUGAUUGAGUUAGGAGAGGAAUGGAAGAGACAACUUUAGUUCAAAGAUAAUAAGAUGAAACGGAACUGAACUGUGCGCGACUCUUUGUCGUGAA
rnacentral:lncRNA from 1 species